rnacentral:rRNA from 1 species
CUGCUGCCUCCCGUAGGAGUUUGGACCGUGUCUCAGUUCCAAUGUGGGGGACCUUCCUCUCAGAACCCCUACGCAUCGUCGGCUUGGUGGGCCGUUGCCCCACCAACUACCUAAUGCGCCGCAUGCCCAUCCGUGACCGGGGUCGCCCCCUUUGGCCGGCAGGGGAUGUCCCCUCCCGGCAUUAUGUUGUAUUAGGCGGGAUUUCUCCCGGUUAUCCGUCUGUCACGGCCAGGUUGCAUACGUGUUACUCACCCGUGCGCCGGUCGCCGGCGGCAG